CAGACUGACUCCCGUACGAUCACUAAAGUUAAGCAACAUUGAGAUUGUUCAGUACCUAGAUGGGUGACCGCUUGGGAAUACCAGGUGCUGUAAG
rnacentral:rRNA from 1 species